rnacentral:rRNA from 1 species
CCUACGGGUGGCUGCAGUGGGGGAUAUUGCACAAUGGGGGAAACCCUGAUGCAGCGACGCCGCGUGGGUGAAGAAGGGCCUCGGCGCGUAAAGUCCUGUCAGCCGGGAAGAAAAUGACGGUAUCUGACUAAGAAGCCACGGCCAACUACGUGCCAGCAGCCGCGGUCAUACGUAGGGGGCAAGCGUUAUACGGAGUUACUGGGUGAAAAGGGAGCGUAGACGGCUAUGCAAGUCUGACGUGAAAGGCGGGGGCCCAACCCCGGAACUGCGUUGGAAACUGUAUGGCUGGAGUGCAGGAGAGGGAAGUAGAAUUCCUAGUGUAGCGGUGAAAUGCGUAGAUAUUAGGAGGAACACCAGUGGCGAAGGCGGCUUACUGGACGGUAACUGACGUUGAGGCUCGAAAGCGUGGGGAGCAAACAGGAUUAGAUACCCGUGUAGUC